CCCUUAGAUGUUCUGGGCCGCACGCGCGCUACACUGAUGCAUUCAACGAGUCUAAAACCUGGUCUGAUAGGGCUGGGUAAUCUUUUGAAUGUGCAUCGUGAUUGGGAUAGAUGAUUGCAAUUCUUCAUCUUCAACGAGGAAUGCCUAGUAAACGCAAGUCAUCAGCUUGUAUUGAUUACGUCCCUGCCCUUUGUGCACACCGCCCGUCGCUCCUACCGAUUGAAUGUUCCGAUGAAUACCAUGGACUGAGAGUAUGAAUGGGUUCGCCUAUUUCUGCUUCUCGGGAAGUGGAGUAAAUCUUAACAUUUAGAGGAAGGAGAAGUCGUAACA
rnacentral:rRNA from 1 species